UACGUAGGUGGCAAGCGUUGUCCGGAUUUAUUGGGUUUAAAGGGUGCGUAGGCGGCCCUGUAAGUCAGUGGUGAAAUACUCCAGCUUAACUGGAGGGGUGCCAUUGAUACUGCAGGGCUUGAGUGGAGUCGAAGUAGGCGGAAUUGACGGUGUAGCGGUGAAAUGCUUAGAUAUCGUCAAGAACACCGAUAGUGAAGACAGCUUACUAGGCUUCUACUGACGCUGAGGCACGAAAGUGUGGGGAUCGAACAGG
rnacentral:rRNA from 1 species